CCCUUAGAUGUUCGGGGCCGCACGCGCGCUACACUGAAGGACUCAGCGUGUCUCUCCCCCUAUCCCGAAAGGGAUGGGCAACCCGUUGAACCUCCUUCGUGCUAGGGAUUGGGGUUUGCAAUUAUCCCCCAUGAACGGGGAAUUCCCAGUAAGCGCGAGUCAUCAGCUCGCGUUGAUUACGUCCCUGCCCUUUGUACACACCGCCCGUCGCUACUACCGAUUGGAUGGUUUAGUGAGACCCUCGGAUCGGUCCCGACUCGGGGUGGGCUUCUGCCCCGGUCGUGGUUUCGCCGAGAAGACGGUCAAGCUUGACUAUCUAGAGGAAGUAAAAGUCGUAACA
rnacentral:rRNA from 1 species